rnacentral:rRNA from 1 species
CGAACGUUAGCGGCGCGCCUAACACAUGCAAGUCGCACGAGAAAGGGAGCUAAUCCCCGGUACAGUGGCGCACGGGUGAGUAACACGUAGAUGACCUUCCCUGGGAGUGGUGGAUAACCUGCCGAAAGGCGGGCUAAUACAGCAUGGGACCACAUCGGUUUUUGACCGAGUGGUGAAAGCGGGCCUCUGUUCACAAGCUCGCGCUCUGGGAUGGGUCUGCGUCCCAUCAGCUAGUUGGUGAGGUAAUGGCUCACCAAGGCAUCGACGGGUAGCUGGUCUGAGAGGAUGACCAGCCACACUGGAACUGAGACACGGUCCAGACUCCUACGGGAGGCAGCAGUGGGGAAUCUUGCGCAAUGGGCGAAAGCCUGACGCAGCGACGCCGCGUGGGUGAUGAAGGCCUUCGGGUUGUAAAGCCCUGUGGGGAGGAACGAACCGUACGGGGGCGAACACCCUCCGUACCUGACGGUACCUCCUUAGCAAGCAUCGGCUAACUCUGUG